rnacentral:rRNA from 1 species
CAAGUGAAGGGUUUGAUCCUGGCUCAGAACGAACGUUGGCGGCGUGGAUGAGGCAUGCAAGUCGUACGUGAAAGUCUUCGGACGAGUAAAGUGGCGGACGGGCGAGUAACACGUAAUCAAGCUACCCGCGAGACGGGGAUAACCUCGGGAAACCGAGGCUAAUACCCGAUGGUCUACCAGGUUCGCAUGGACCGGUAGUAAAUGGAUGGGAUCCUUCGGGACCAUCUGCUGGCGGAGGUGAUUGCGGCCCAUCAGUUAGUUGGUAGGGUAACGGCCUACCAAGACAGCGACGGGUAGCCGGCCUUAGAGGGUGGUCGGCCGCACUGGGACUGAGACACUGCCCAGACUCCUACGGGAGGCUGCAGUCGAGAAUCUUCCGCAAUGGACGCAAGUCUGACGGAGCGACGCCGCGUGUAGGAUGAAGGCCCUCGGGUUGUAAACUACUGUCACGAGUUAAGAAUGCUGUACGGUGAACAGCCGUGCAGUUGACGUAAGCUCGAGAGGAAGCACUGGCUAACUCUGUGCCAGCAGCCGCGGUAAUACAGAGAGUGCAAACGUUGUUCGGAAUCACUGGGCUUAAAGCGCACGUAGGCGGCAUUGUAAGUGUCGGGUGAAAGCCCACGGCUCACCCGUGGAAUUGCCCGGCAGACUGCAGUGCUAGAGUGUGGUAGGGGAGAGCGGAACUCCUGGUGGAGCGGUGAAAUGCGUAGAUAUCAGGAGGAACACCGGUGGCGAAGGCGGCUCUCUGGUCCAUUACUGACGCUGAGGUGCGAAAGCUAGGGUAGCGAACGGGAUUAGAUACCCCGGUAGUCCUAGCCGUAAACGAUGGGCACUAGCUUGGGGUCUCCCUGUGUGAUCCCAGGUGAAGCAAAAGUGAUAAGUGCCCCGCCUGGGGAGUA